GCUUAGAUAGCUCAGUCAGAAGAGCAUCAAAUUUUUAAUCUGAGGGUCCAGGAUUCAUGUCCCAGUUCCAGCU
rnacentral:tRNA from 1 species